GAUGGAGAACGCAGCGAAAUGCGAUACGUAAUGUGAAUUGCAGAAUUCAGUGAAUCAUCGAAUCUUUGAACGCAUAUUGCGCUCUUUGGUAUUCCGAAGAGCAUGCUUGUUUGAGUAUCAGUAAACACCUCAAAGCUUUUGGAUUUUUUAAUCGAAAAGCUUUGGACUUGAGCAAUCCCAACACCAAUCUUUUUGAGAUCGGUGGCGGGUUGCUUGAAAUGCAGGUGCAGCUGGACAUUCUCCUGAGCUAAAAGCAUAUUCAUUUAGUCCCGUCAAACGGAUUAUUACUUUUGCUGCAGCUAACAUAAAGGGAGUUUGACCGUAUUGGCUGACUGAUGCAGGAUUUCACAAGGGUCGGCAACGAUUCUUGUUAAACUCGAUCUCAAAUCAAGUAAGACUACCCGCUGAACUUAAGCAUAUCAAUAAGCGGAGGA
rnacentral:misc_RNA from 1 species